GACGAACCGUGCGAACGUUGUUCGGAUUCACUGGGCUUAAGGGGCGCGUAGGCGGGCGGUCAAGUCAGGGGUGAAAUCUUUCGGCCUAACCGGAAAAGGGCCUCUGAUACUGGCCGUCUCGAGGGAGGUAGGGGCAUGCGGAACUUCCGGUGGAGCGGUGAAAUGCGCAGAUAUCGGGAGGAACACCGGUGGCGAAGGCGGUUCUCUGGGCCUGUACUGACGCUGAGGAGCGAAAGCGUGGGGAGCGAACAGG
rnacentral:rRNA from 1 species